GAUGAACGCUGGCGGCGUGCCUAACACAUGCAAGUCGAACGAAUGGACCACAUUCUUGCUUCUCUGAUGUUAGCGGCGGACGGGUGACUCACACGCGGCUUACCUCCCUCUAAGACUUGGAUACGUUCGGGAAACGGUAGUUACUACCGGUUAAUAUUUUGCACCGCAUUGUUCAAAAGAGAAUGCCGGUCUUGCUGUUACGUCUAGAUGGUUCCGCGCUGCAUUAGAUGGUUGGUCAGGUAACGGCUUACCAAGGCAACGAUGCAUAGCCGACGUGAGAGGGUGAUCGGCCACUCUGGAACUGAGACACGGUCCAGACUACUACGGGAGGCAGCAGUAGGGAAUCUGCCGCAAAGGGCGAAAGCCUGACGGAGCAACGCAGCGUGAGUGAUGAAGGUCUUCGGAUCGUAAAACUCUGUUAUUAGGGAAGAACAGAUGUGUAAGUAACUGAGCACAUCUUGACGGUACCUAAUCAGAAAGCCACGGCUAACUACGUG
rnacentral:rRNA from 1 species